CACGGGGAGGGCGCGCGGGGCCGGGGGCCAGCCUGCCCGCCCGCGCCUCCGGGCUGCUCCAUAUUAAUGAGCCUGGCCCCUUCCUCCUCCUCCUCCUCCUCCUCCUGCUCCGCAGGCUGCCAGGGGCACGCCGGGGCGGCAGUCGGGGCUCCGCACACCCGAGCGCCGGGCCAGCACCGCCGUGGGCUCGUGCCCCCUCGCCAUGGCCGGCUCCGCGGGCAGCCUCCCGCUCUGCCUCCUCCUGCUCCAGGCCGCCGGCCUCGGCCUGGCCCAGCUCCGAGGGCCGCCAGGAGAGCCCGGCCCGCGAGGGCCCCCCGGUCCGCCAGGAGUGCCGGGAGCCGACGGCAUCGACGUGAGUGCGGGCCGCGGGGAGGGAGGGACGGAGGGAGGGAGGGAGGGAGGGGGCCGCCGGCACAAAGAGGGACAUUGUGCGGGGCAGCGGCUUGCGGCCGGGGAGCUGCUGCGGUUUGCAGAGGGCCGGGGGGCUCCUGCGCGCAGGGAGGGCUCCGCCGGCCCUGGGGAGCGCCCCGUGGCCGGCCGGCCCGUGCUAUUUAUACCCCAAAGCCGCAGCUUUCCUGCAGCCAAGCGAAGCGCGCUGGUCCCAGCCCCAUCCUGGCCUCCGAGCUGGGGGAUCCCGCAGCUCCCGCCGGCUUCGGGAGGGCACAGGGGGACCUGGAGCAGGCAACGAGCAUCCGGCUCUGCCCGGAGGGUGACCCCCCCCCCCAUAACCUCCUCCUCUUCCCCAGGGUGACAAAGGCUCGCCGGGAGCACCGGGGCCCUCGGUGAGUGUGCCUGCCCCCCCCCCGAGCUCGGGGGCUGCCCCCCACCCCCGGGAGAGCUGCCUCGUAAUUUGUCCCCGUGCCUCUUUUGAAGGGUGCCAAGGGGGAGCCCGGCGCGCCCGGUCCGGACGGGCCCCCAGGGAAGCCGGGCAUCGACGUGAGUACGGCCCCCCGCCUCGCCCCGCGCAUGGGUCCCGCCUGGUCCGGGCGCUGCCAACUCCGCCGGUCUCCCGGCCCGGGAGCCGGGGUCGGCUGGGAUCCAGCCGCUGCCUCUCGUUGCUCCCGCGGGCGCUGGGGGUUGUUAGCUCUGCGCUGAGCCGAAAGCAGACGUGACCCCAGACCCGAGAUGCCUCUUCUCAAGCGGAGCGUGGAGGAGCUCGGCGCAACCCUGCUGCGGCUCCCGAGCCCGGGCUAAAGCCCUUGGAUCCUGCCCUGCCGCCCAUGAGCAAGUGCCAAAACCCCUCCGCCUGGGAGCUCAAAGCGCCUUUAUGUUCCCAGCGAGAGCCGCGGGCAGAGCGCGGCGCCUCCUCGGAGCUCGCCGGCUGCGGUGCCGCCCUGCCUCCCGCCGCCCCGGCUCCCGAAAGAGCACGUCCCCCCCGUCCCACGCGGGGCUAGACAUCCUGCCCCGGGACACCCUGCUAUGGGCAGAAACCCCCCACACCCCUAAAAAAACAAGAGCCUUUUCCUUCUCUUUGCAGCCGGUGGGUGAGCAGGGACGCGGUGCGUCCCCAGGGAUGCGGUGCAAACCCAGGCGGCAGGGCCCUCUUUGGCAUCCCUGGCCGCACCUUCGUAAAAAUUUAGGUUUUAGUUAUUCUUCAGUAAUAAAUGAAUAGMAUAGUAAACGUCA
rnacentral:lncRNA from 1 species